rnacentral:sRNA from 12 species
CCGCGCUUGAUGAAUAUGCGUUAUGGCGCUUAUUCCUAUGCACAUCAUUUGGUCGAAGUAGCUGUGCGUUUUGCAGCUCCAAGCGCUAUCAAGAAACGGCGUGGUAUUCAACUACGUGCGUCAAUGCGCAGUUUGAUAAGCGUCGAUGCUACGGGCAAUCGCUUAUCCGAUGUUUACACCUUCGAACUGACC